GAGCUUCAUUGAGAGCGUUUUGGGGUGAAAAGAGCCAGUUUUGGGUCUGGCUGGGACAGAGCUUCAUUGAGAGCGUUUUGGGGUGAAAAGAGCCAGUUUUGGGUCUGGCUGGGACAGAGCUUCAUUGAGAGCGUUUUGGGGUGAAAAGAGCCGGUUUUGGGUCUGGCUGGGACAGAGCUUCAUUGAGAGGGUUUUGGGGUGAAAAGAGCCGGUUUUGGGUCUGGCUGGGACAGAGCUUCAUUGAGAGCGUUUUGGGGUGAAAAGAGCCGGUUUUGGGUCUGGCUGGGACAGAGCUUCAUUGAGAGCGGUUUUGGGGUGAAAAGAGCCGGUUUUGGGUCUGGCUGGGACAGAGCUUCAUUGAGAGGGUUUUGGGGUGAAAAGAGCCAGUUUUGGGUCUGGCUGGGACAGAGCUUCAUUGAGAGCGUUUUGGGGUGAAAAGAGCCAGUUUUGGGUCUGGCUGGGACAGAGCUUCAUUGAGAGCGUUUUGGGGUGAAAAGAGCCGGUUUUGGGUCUGGCUGGGACAGAGCUUCAUUGAGAGCGUUUUGGGGUGAAAAGAGCCGGUUUUGGGUCUGGCUGGGACAGAGCUUUACUCAAAUCAUUUUGGGGUGAAAAGAGCCGGUUUUGGGUCUGGCUGGGACAGAGCUUCAUUGAGAGGGUUUUGGGGUGAAAAGAGCCAGU